UACGAUAAUCUGGCAACCGUGAAGUUUGUUUACACCCGCGCCACGCCAAGAACCCGCCGAGUGUCCAUCAUUUUUCUCCUUUUACACGCCCAGGAGGAGCACAGGCGGCACGUGAAGGAUAUAUAUUAACGAGCAACAACAACCGAGCCCCAGGGUACAGGCGGCACGAGGUCUAAUCACCGAGGGAGGCCAGGCAGAGGGCGUGGAGGCGGGUGUGGGCAGCGAUGUUCGUGGCCAAGAGUCUGAACGCCGAGCACAAGGACCUCAUUCACGAUGUGGCCUUCGACUUCUACGGCAGGAGGAUGGCCACGUGCUCCAGCGACCAGAGCGUCAAGAUCUGGGACCUGAACGAGGAUGGGGAGUGGGUGUGCACAGCCUCCUGGAAGACUCACUGUGGCUCGGUGUGGAAGGUGACGUGGGCCCACCCAGAGUUUGGCCAGAUCAUUGCCACGUGUUCCUUCGACCGCACCGCCGCCAUCUGGGAGGAGAGUGUGAGUGACUCGGGCCAUGGCAUCCACAGCACCUGGAUCAAGCGCGCCGGCCUGGUUGACUCGCGCACCUCAGUUAUGGAUAUCAAGUUUGCCCCCAAGAUUCAGGGCUUACAGCUUGCCACGUGUUCAGCCGGUGGAGUGGUGAGGAUAUACGAGGCACCGGACGUGAUGAAUCUCAACCAAUGGUCACCACAGUACGAGAUCAACUGUAAACUGCAGUGUUCCUGUAUCUCCUGGAACCAGUCACCCUCCCGUCUCCACGCACCGCUCAUCGCUGUUGGGAGUGACGACCCAAACCCUUCCUCGGGGCCCAAGGUGUUCAUCUACGAGUUCUCGGCCAACACACACAAGUGGAACCGCGUGGAGAGCCUGGUGUCGGUGACGGACCCAGUACAUGAUCUCGCCUUUGCCCCGAACCUUGGCCGCUCGUAUCACCUCCUGGGCAUUGCCACCAAGGAUGUGCGAGUGGUGACGCUGCGCCCUGUCAAACAAGACUCAUCGCAGGCCCAGAACAGCUUGAUAUCCUUUGAGGUGCGGCAGGCAGGCCAGUUCGACGACCACAACUCCACCGUCUGGCGCGUGUGCUGGAACGCCACGGGAACCAUCUUGGCCUCGUCAGGGGAUGAUGGUUGUGUCCGCCUCUGGAAAGCGAACUACCUUGACAUCUGGCGCUGUAUUUCCACCAUGCGCGGGGAGGCGGUGGAGAACGUGGCGGAGGCGGACAGCACAGACCGGGCGACGCAGCAGUCCGGGGUCUCGGCCACGCAGCACACGGCCCGGUACUUCAAGCUGGCACCCACGGCCCAUCCGAGUCAUGUUCCCUGGCACUGACCUAUCCCGGGUGUUGAGGAAUAGGUAUUUUUUAAGUCUCGUUCUGUUUCAGUUAUUUCUUUCGUCUCUUUCGUUUUUGGUAUGAUCGUUUUUUGUUUUUUUAUAUUUUUUUUUAUGCUUUUCUCUUUUUUUCUUUGUCUUCUUUCUCUCCUCUGUCCUUUCCUUCUCCUCCCCUUCUUUUUAUUUCUUUUUCCCAUUCUUUCUUUUCUAUUCCUUUCCUUUCCCUUCCUCUUCCUUCCAUUUAUUUCCCUUCCCUUUCCUUCUUUUCCCUUCCCUUCCCUUUCCUUCCCUGUCCUCUCCUUCCCUUUUCUUCUUUUCUCUUCCCUUCCCAUACCUUCCCUUUCCAUCCUUUUCUUUCCCUUCCCUUCCCUUCCCUUCCUCUCCCUUUUCCUCCCUUUCCUUCCCUGUCCUUUCCUUCUUUUCCCUUCCCUUCCCAUACCUUCCCUUUCCUUCCCUUUCCUUGUUUUCCCUUCCCUUCCCUUCCCAUACCUUCCCUUUCCAUCCUUUUCUUUCCCUUCCCUUACCUUCCUCUCCCUUUUCCUCCCUUUCCUUCCCUGUCCUCCCUUUCUUUCCUCUUAUCCGCCCUCGUAAUUAGUCAGUUUGUUAUUUCAAGAUGUUUCGCCGUGAUGUGAUCGAGACGUCAUAUUUUUGUACUGUACAUGAGUGUGUGUGUGGGCAGUAACUUCGGAGAUUAGUGUGAUGAAGGUCUAUCACUUCCUUAAGACAAUAGAAGUAUAAAUGUUUCCUUGUGUUGAGCAGUUGUUUUCGUUGUUGUCGUAAGAUCGAGUCUCGUAUUCUCAGACGCUUUCGGCUCACAACAACUUAUUUCCAAAGCCCACAAAAGAGGUUAGUCAGGUUCUCAUGAGUGUUUUUCCAUGUUCAUAGUGCAGAAGCCUUGUCAAAACUACCCCUUGAGAUGCUAACACAACCUCUUUGAAAGCCCCCAAAUGUGUGAGAAUUGAGAAUAUGGUUUCGACUCACAACAACUUAUUUCCAAAGUCCACAAAGGAGGUUAGUCAGGUUCUCAUGAGUGUUUUUCCAUGUUCAUGGUGCAGAAGCCUUGUCAAAACUACCACCAUGCUCAUAAAACUACCCAUGGAAAUGCUAACACAACCUCUACGAAAGCCUUAUCAAAUGUGCGUAUACAGAAGCCUUGUCAAAACUACCUCUAGGCUCAUAAAACUACCCCUUGAAAUGCUAACACAGUCUCUAUGAAAGCCUUGGCAUAUGUGGGUGUGCAGAAGCCUUGUCAAAACUACCACUAGGCUCAUAAAACUACCCAUGGAAAUACAAACACAACAACCUCUACCAAAGCCUUAUCAUAUGUAGGUGUGUGAGCCGUGAAUUGUUUGAGAAUAUUGGUCAUAGUAUUUGUAGUAUUGAGUUUGUCCAUUUCUUACCCUUUCUUUUUUUUUACUUUUUUUUUUACUGCAAAGGAGACAGCUCAAGGGCACACAAAAAAGGAAACGGUAAUUAAAAAAAAGCCCACUACUCGCCGUUCCUGAAAAGAGUAAAGAGGAGUGGCCGUACAAGAGGUCAAUUUCAGGAGGAGAGUUGUUUACCCAUCCGCUGCGAUUGGCACGGAUUUAUCCUUCACUGGUAGCCUGGUAACAUACACUCCCAGGUCUUUCUCUAGCUCUGUGGUGGAUAGUGGAGUGUUUCCCAUAUGGUAUUGGUGUGCUGGAUAUCCCCUCCCAAGGUGCAGGACUUUACAUCUUUCUUCAUUUAAUUGUAGCAGCCACUUUUUGUUCCACUCCUGUAGCUUGGUGAUGUCUUCUUGUAGGAAAUCCACAGUCAAGGGGUUAAGUUGUUCAGUUAAAGAGAGGAAAUCUAACAUCUAUUGAUAACAUGUUUCUCGUACAAGGUUUAGUCCCCAAGAAGCAAGAUUGUAGUCAUUUAUAUUUUGCUUGUUUUGUUGUUUAUAGUAACGAAAGGACUUGGUGAGCGAUGUGAGAUGAACGCAACAGGGCAUCACUUGUAACUUGUUCUAAUAAAGAUGACAAUUAUAACAGUUGAU